CUCGUCCCUACAUUUUGUCCACUCUCUUCCCAUUAGUUGUACGGGGCGAGUAUACAAUGUGUGCGCCCGGCAGUGCUCAGGCCGGAGUGUAGCAAACUAACGUUGAACUAUGGACAGAGGGGAAUCCAGCGACAGAAGCUGACCACCUUCUAUCAUCACAGCCUCUCAUCGCCGCCUUGCACUACUGAGGAUGACCUUCCCAGCUAAGGUCACACCAGUUUCCUGUGAUAAGUGGUUCAAGUGGAGAACCUUCACCAGCCGCUCAUCCACCGCAGGCAGAAUGACCUUGAUGAAUAUUGCUUGUGCCUGACGCCAUGACUCGUGAUGGAAGGAAAGUAGGCUCUGCAAAAUGUGCCAACAUCGUCUGUCAGUGGUGCGCGGCUCGGUGAACCAGAAAUUAAGCCUCGAUUCCCUCGAAGCUGCGCAGGUGAAGAGGAAGUGAAGCUUGUCGUACCACGAUCACGAUGUGUUUGCAAGAAAAAUAAAAAAAAGGUCAUUUCACUUAACGGCCUCUCACACGGCUAUCUGCUGUCACUCUCCUCGCCUGUACUGUGAUAACCUCAUAAUACACGUGGCACGUACGAUCAAGGAUCGGGCGUUGUGUCCCUAAACAACUUCACUGCUUCAGGAACAUCCCCAAGCCAGCUCGCUAGGCUAGAAGCAUGCUGCCCAUUUUUGCUGGUGAGACCUGCAGCACAGAGAGUUUGGUGUCACAAAGGGACUGGACCAUUGUGUUGAUGCUUUGUCAUUCCAACAACAAACCCCAAGCCAGCAUCUCUUCAGCCACUUCAUUUUGCCGCUGGCCUGGCCAUGGUCAGGUCACUCCAGGGUUGAAGUGGCAACAGCACAACCUGGUCCUAUAGUCAACACCCUGAGUAUCAAUCAAUAGUCUGGAUCCACUAUAGGUCAAUUAGUUUGUGCCAAGCUUUCACACUCCAG